rnacentral:rRNA from 1 species
AUUGAACGCUGGCGGCAUGCUUUACACAUGCAAGUCGAACGGUAACAGGCCGCAAGGUGCUGACGAGUGGCGAACGGGUGAGUAAUGCAUCGGAACGUGCCCAGUCGUGGGGGAUAACGCAGCGAAAGUUGCGCUAAUACCGCAUACGAUCUAUGGAUGAAAGCGGGGGACCGUAAGGCCUCGCGCGAUUGGAGCGGCACAGGUCAGAUUAGGUAGUUGGUGGGGUAGAGGCUCACCAAGCCGACGAUCUGUAGCUGGUCUGAGAGGACGACCAGCCACACUGGGACUGAGACACGGCCCAGACUCCUACGGGAGGCAGCAGUGGGGAAUUUUGGACAAUGGGCGCAAGCCUGAUCCAGCAAUGCCGCGUGCAGGAAGAAGGCCUUCGGGUUGUAAACUGCUUUUGUACGGAACGAAACGGUCCUGGUUAAUACCCGGGGCUAAUGACGGUACCGUAAGAAUAAGCACCGGCUAACUACGUGCCAGCCGCCGCGGUAAAAC